rnacentral:tRNA from 2 species
GGGGCUAUAGCGCAGUCCGGUAGCGCACCUCCAUGGCAUGGAGGGGGUCUGGGGUUCAAAUCCCCAUAGCUCCACCA